CGGACGGGUGAGUAACGCGUGAGAAUCUGCCUCCAGGUCGGGGACAACAGCGGGAAACUGCUGCUAAUCCCGGAUAAGCCCUAGGGUAAAAGAUUUAUUGCCUGGAGAGGAGCUCGCGUCCGAUUAGCUAGAUGGUGAGGUAAGGGCUCACCAUGGCGACGAUCGGUAGCUGUUCUGAGAGGAAGAUCAGCCACACUGGGACUGAGACACGGCCCAGACUCCUACGGGAGGCGGCAGUGGGGAAUUUUCCGCAAUGGGCGAAAGCCUGACGGAGCAAGACCGCGUGCGGGAAGAAGGCCCUUGGGUCGUAAACCGCUUUUCUUAGGGAAGAAGCUCUGACGGUACCUAAGGAAUCAGCCUCGGCUAACUCCGUGCCAGCAGCCGCGGUAAUACGGAGGAGGCAAGCGUUAUCCGGAAUUAUUGGGCGUAAAGCGUCCGCAGGCGGCUUAUCAAGUCUGCUGUCAAAGACUGGGGCUCAACCCUGGGGAGGCAGUGGAAACUGAGAAGCUAGAGUGCAGUAGGGGUAGAGGGAAUUCCCAGUGUAGCGGUGAAAUGCGUAGAGAUUGGGAAGAACACCGGUGGCGAAAGCGCUCUACUGGGCUGUAACUGACGCUGAGGGACGAAAGCUAGGGGAGCGAAAGGGAUUAGAUACCCCUGUAGU
rnacentral:rRNA from 1 species